CUGGGGAAACCCAGGCUAAUACCGCAUACGUCCUACGGGAGAAAGGGGGCUUCGGCUCCCGCUAUUGGAUGAGCCUAUGUCGGAUUAGCUAGUUGGUGAGGUAAAGGCUCACCAAGGCAACGAUCCGUAGCUGGUCUGAGAGGAUGAUCAGCCACAUCGGGACUGAGACACGGCCCGAACUCCUACGGGAGGCAGCAGUGGGGAAUAUUGGACAAUGGGGGCAACCCUGAUCCAGCCAUGCCGCGUGUGUGAAGAAGGCCCUCGGGUUGUAAAGCACUUUCAGCGAGGAAGAACGCCUAGCGGUUAAUACCCGUUAGGAAAGACAUCACUCGCAGAAGAAGCACCGGCUAACUCCGUGCCAGCAGCCGCGGUAAUACGGAGGGUGCAAGCGUUAAUCGGAAUUACUGGGCGUAAAGCGCGCGUAGGUGGCUUGAUAAGCCGGUUGUGAAAGCCCCGGGCUCAACCUGGGAACGGCAUCCGGAACUGUCAGGCUAGAGUGCAGGAGAGGAAGGUAGAAUUCCCGGUGUAGCGGUGAAAUGCGUAGAGAUCGGGAGGAAUACCAGUGGCGAAGGCGGCCUUCUGGACUGACACUGACACUGAGGUGCGAAAGCGUGGGUAGCAAACAGGAUUAGAUACCCUGGUAGUCCACGCCGUAAACGAUGUCGACCAGCCGUUGGGUGCCUAGAGCACUUUGUGGCGAAGUUAACGCGAUAAGUCGACCGCCUGGGGAGUACGGCCGCAAGGUUAAAACUCAAAUGAAUUGACGGGGGCCCGCACAAGCGGUGGAGCAUGUGGUUUAAUUCGAUGCAACGCGAAGAACCUUACCUACCCUUGACAUCUACAGAAGCCGGAAGAGAUUCUGGUGUGCCUUCGGGAACUGUAAGACAGGUGCUGCAUGGCUGUCGUCAGCUCGUGUUGUGAAAUGUUGGGUUAAGUCCCGUAACGAGCGCAACCCUUGUCCUUAUUUGCCAGCGAGUAAUGUCGGGAACUCUAAGGAGACUGCCGGUGACAAACCGGAGGAAGGUGGGGACGACGUCAAGUCAUCAUGGCCCUUACGGGUAGGGCUACACACGUGCUACAAUGGCCGGUACAAAGGGCUGCGAGCUCGCGAGAGUCAGCGAAUCCCUUAAAGCCGGUCUCAGUCCGGAUCGGAGUCUGCAACUCGACUCCGUGAAGUCGGAAUCGCUAGUAAUCGUGAAUCAGAAUGUCACGGUGAAUACGUUCCCGGGCCUUGUACACACCGCCCGUCA
rnacentral:rRNA from 1 species